UUUUUAAGAGCAGGUUAGACAAACACCUGUCAGGAAUGGCCUAGAUGAUGAUUAUUCCUGCCAUGAGUGUAGGAGACUGGACUAGAUGACCUCUCAAGGUCCAUUGCAGUCCUAUGAUUCUGGGAUAAAGGUUAAUGGGAAGAGAAGCAACACCAGCCAUAAUCUCUAUUGCUGCAGUGUGGGUGUGUGAAUAUUUGGAGCAAAGAUUUAACAACUUAAAGAUGGAGACCUAUUUUAGUUGCUUCAUACUUCAGCAAGAUCCUCCUCAGCUGUGUCAUCUUUCUCCUUAAUAUUCCCUAUUGCUAGCUAAUGUGUGCCCAAGCAACACCAACUGUCUAGAUUUAUUUGUACUUACUCUCUGAUGCAGAGGCAUUUGUCCUAAUUUUUUUUAAAGUUUAACUGCUUAGGAGUGAUGGUUUCACAAUUAAACUUAAACAAGCGUAAAUGCUUGAUGAAUUAAUGUAGUUCUUGUGAAUAAAAACUUUUACACAGACGGGGUGCAAUAUAUUUUAGAUUGUAGGGCAUAAAUCAAUAUUAAUCUUCUUUACUUGCUUUUCUCAAUAAAAUAGUCACCUGUAAUGAAUGACCACUGGGACAAGUGUUGCCUCUCUUGUAAGAAUAAAAUAGUCAAUAACUUUUUCUGGUGUUCAGUUGAACCUUUCAGUUAUGUGCUAGGUUAGGUGCUGGGGAUGUUGACAGUGUAUUAUAUUGAAAACGUAACAAUUAUUUUUUAAAGAAAGGCCUUCCUUUUGCCUCCCUCAUAUCCAGUCCUAAUAUGCCGAGAGAACAUGUGAAAUAUUCAGCAAAGACAUGGGGGUGGUGCAGUGAAAGAUGAUCAGAGAGACAUGAAACAUCCCAAGGAGACAUAAGAAGGCAAAGCUGUUUUCUCUAUAGCUAAAGAAAACAGUAUCAGUGGGAGCUUGACUGAGCCCAUAUGGAAGGCUUGCAGGAUCAGCACACAAAAAAAAUCCUGUCAUAUCACAUACCUGAGUUGUGAAGUGAACUUCAACUCCAAAGUACCUGUAGCUUUUGACAUGAGCCUCAGGUUUGGCACUGUGGUUCCCAGGCUACAGGAGGAGUCCUGCAUUCAUAGCUGCCUACAGAAACACCCAACAAUAACCCAGGCUAGAGUGGAAGGAGGAAAGAUGGCUUCAGAAUGAAAGAUGAGGGCAUCCACAGAACCUUGCUCAAUGUAACUUCAGCUGAAGGCUGGAAGACUUUAUACUUGCAUGUUUCAUGGCAAAAGGUACUGAGGGGGAGGGGGCAGGAGGGAGCCUACAGGAUAGGGAGCAAAUAAUGAUUUUUAUGAAUAUCUUCUAUGGAAGGGCUGUGGGGUCUCUCUAUGGCCACUUAGCUCCAUAAAAGCAUUUAUCUUUCACUCCCAACCACAAUCAAAGAAGAAAACUUUAAAUACAGGGUUGAUUGAGCCAUUGUAUACACAGAACACAGCAACUUCUAUAUUUUUGCUGCCAGGCAAAUAAGCAGUACAACAAAAACUGGAAGUAGCCCACAAAGGAAAGAUUGAAUUUUAGUUUUAUGAUAAAGUACCAUCACCUGAAUGUGGUCAUUUUCUGUUAGUCUUUGGCUAAAAUGUCUGUGUGUAAGUGAACAGAUUUAUGAAGUGAUGAAUUUUAGGAUAUAUAUAUACACACACACACACACACUCUCUAACUCAAUGGAAGUUAGGGACCUAGCUCCCUUGGCCCCUUUGAAAAUCCCAGCCUACCUCUUUAAUAAAGAUGUAGACAUUUGGUGAAAGGAACUAUUAGUCUUAAAACAUAACACCUUUAAAUAAGUAGUUAGGAUAAUAUUUUACACUUGUAUCAAGAAUACUUGGAAUUGUAAGUACAAGAUAAGGAGAAAUGUAGAAAUUUCAAGUUUUAAGUUUUUAUUUCAAAGUCAUAAAUAACAGUGGUUUCAUUUUUACCAUGUAUGGAUUCCUGCCCCCCCGAGAACAGGGUAUGAAGGUAUAGUACCAGCUCCAAAAGGACUUCAAGUAAAUUUUAAGAUGACAACACUAAUUAAAUCGUUGACUGGCAGUUGGAUCCUCUUCACUUUUUAGGAAAAGUGAAAAGCAUUUAACCUCCAUCCCCCAUGGCUGAUUAUCACUUUUUUUUUGCCUUUUAGCAAUUGUCUGUUGCGUUUUAUAGGCCCUGGAAAAGAUUCUUAGCAGCAUCAAACAGGACUAACCUGCUUCUCAGUCUUUCUGUACACAAGCACAGCAGCAUAUUAACUCAUAAAAUCAAAAAGGGAAAAAAACAACUCAGUGGCAGUGUGUCCACAGCAGUUUCACAAAAAAGUUUACUAAUGUUUGUUUUCAAUUCUCUGCAGAUAAAAUGUUUGCAAAUACAUCAGUAGUAGUCCACAAACAUUUUAAACACUUUACACAAGGAUUCAGUAAACAAUUAACAUUAAUAAAUAGCAUUUCCUCCUUCAAAAAAGUCAAUUUUUGAAGAAAAAUAAAAUAUUUGGCUUGCACGCAAUUUUGGUGCACUUUGAAUGUUAAAAUCUUGAAAAUGAGCACCUGCUCUUAUCUACAUGUUUUACCUAAAACAAAUACAAAGAUCAUGGCUUUCUAUUAAAAUGUUCAAAUAAUCUAUUAAGAGCAGGAGUCCAUAGUAGGAACACUGCAUUAAAAUCCAUUGUCUUGGACUUUUAGCAAUCUAAUUAAAAUAAAAUACCAUGUUUUCUUUAAACUCAAAUUGAAGAUUGUUUUGUGCUGCUGUCUUGUGAGCCCAGAAGCUUUAGCCAAAAUGAACCUAAUUUUUGAAGUGAUUGGAUGGCCUGUAUUGCAAUUUCAGAGUUCUUCAGUCCCCUCAUGAUUCUUGGUGGGUCCUCUUCUGUGAGGCUUUUCCCUGAGCCAUGUAUUUAUUGGCAAGGCUGCCUAAACAGAAACCAAAAAAGAAAGUGUCACAUUAUUGAAGUUGUAACCAAACAGAAAAACAAUGAUCUGAAAACAAAAACAAACCAUGCUUCCAAAAUCUUAAGCAUGCUCCACAUUGCAUGUUCCAUAGGGGGAAAGAACAAACUGGACACACUUGGUCUGAGCCAGAUUACAUUCAACCGUGGUAAACUAAAGAUUGACACCUCAACCUCUGACUUUCAGAGGGCCAGGGAACACCUAUUCCUCUGCUGAAAGAGCUUUGAGUCCCCAUCCAACAAAAAUCAGACUGCUACAAGGUAUCAAGCUUUGGGCAUGCAAAAAACAAAUGGUUAAUCACUAGUCAUUUCUUAAAACUUGGCCAUAAUACCAGAUUAAAAUAGAUUUUUUUAAACAAGUGAAACAGGUGUGUAAGGGGGUGACCGUUCUAUUCUGCUUUUAACACUGAAUUCAGAGUGGGGAUCUGGUGCAACUAUAGCUCCCUUACUAAGGGAUCUUUUUACUUUGGCAGUGGUUUUCAUUGUUUUUAAAGCUCUCGCUUGAGCUUAACUAUCCUUUGGCAUGAUCUGACUGCUGUCUCCUACUCUGAUUGAUAGUUGGUUUAUACAAAGAACCUGCUUUAAUACCCUGGCUCCAAAGAAAUUAAUUGAUCCUGUGGAUUUCUAGAGGGUUAUUUGAAGGAGGUCUCACAUAUGGUCCUUGAAAGGAACACUCCAAGAUACAUAAAAAGAUUCAAGUAGGCAGAAACAGGAGGACAGAAGGAAAAGGAAACAAAAACAAACAAACAAAAAUA